GACGGGGGAUGCAAGUGUUAUCCGGAAUAAUUGGGCGUAAAGCGUCUGUAGGUGGUUUACCAAGUCUGUUGUUAAAAAUCAGGGCUUAACCCUGAUCCGGCAACAGAAACUAGUAGGCUGGAGUACGGUAGGGGCAGAGGGAAUUCUCGGUGUAGUGGUGAAAUACGUAGAUAUCGAGAAGAACACCAAUAGCGAAAAGCACUCUGCUGGGCCGAAACUGACAUUGAGAGACGAAAGCUAGGGGAGCGAAAGGG
rnacentral:rRNA from 1 species